rnacentral:lncRNA from 1 species
CACAUAUGAGUUGGUUUUCCUUACUUAAAAUAUGCUUAUCAUCCCUUGGAGCACUUGAAAAUAUUGGCUAUUUCCUUCUGACCCCCAUGGUUUCUUUUAAAAAAUUUGCUGUUGUUUGAAUGAUUUUUCUCUACAGGUAUUGACUCCUGCCUCAUGAAGGCUGGUCCUGUCUCUAUAGUGAAUAUUGUGCAUCUCAGGGUAGAAUGGAGAGCACAAGACUUCAAAUCAGGCAGUCCGGGUUCAGACCCCAAUUCUAGUGCUAAAUAGCUACGUGACUUUAGGCUGAUUGUGUGUGACUUCCCUGAGCCCCAGUCUCUUUGCCUGCAAAAUGAGAAAAAUGAUAACAAUGUCAUCGGUUGUUCUAAGGAUUCUGAGAGGAAUUAGUAGGAGAGAGAACUAAGAAGCUGCAGGCCUCUACAGAGCCAUUCAACUGGCAUUUCGGAAGAUGUUGCCCAUCAGAGUCAGACCUUCUUAGCAUCUUCCAGCUGGGCCCAAACUUCCCAAGACCAUUUGGACAAGGUCAUCUCUAUCCCACCAUGGCCUCCUCCCAGAGGAGGAGAAGAAUCAUGCUGUUACAGCAGAACCGAAGAUUUGGGCAAGGGAGCUAAUGAUUAUGUUCUGCGUCAGGUCAGAGAUGGGCUGGGAAAGCCACUCCAAAGCCAAGACAAGCAGUUUCCUGGAAAAAGAAGGCUGCGCGGAGCCCAGAGUGGCCUGGAUCCUGCCUCAUUUCCUGGACCAGCUCCUUAGGUGGUUACUGGAUUGCCAAUAAAGCAGAGCUUAUUAAAGUCAACGAGCUCAGGCUUCAUCGCCGCCGUGGUAUCCAAGCACCAGUCUGUCUGGGAUUUCAUUUGCCUGAUGGACAAAGGAGAGGUUGUUCCAAUACAUAUCCUGAGUGGUGGGGGUGGGGAGAGAAGGGGAAGAAUGCUCUCUAGAGAAUUCUCUUUGUCCUCUGAAGUAAAUAGAGAUCAUGUCUUCCCCAGCCACACUCAGUGAUCUGAAUCUCUUGGACUGUGGAUUUUUCCUUUACCUGCUGUGAAGCCUUGAAAAGUAUGAAUUAGCUAGAUAAUGAUCCUCUAAAGAUGUUCAAGAGUUAAAGAUGUGUUUAAGUUCUUCAGGCAAUCCAAUAUGACUACGGGUUUCCAAAAAUUUGAAGGAAACUGAAAAUCAUAGUUCCCAAACCAGAUAUUUUCCGGUGUCCAGAUGUUCACUGGCAUGCAAACCAAAUGUCUGGAUUAUGAGCUCCUUUUUUCAUUUCUUUUUAUCAGCUUACAUCCAGAUGUUGGAUCCAACUGGUCAGAGGCCUGGGGCAGAGACAGAAAUCAAAUCUAGGGUGUUCAUCUAGAGUCUCCUGCUCCUCCAUUCCUGCUUCCUCCUCACGCUGCCCCCACAUCCUCCCCAACUCACCUUCAUGCUACAUCUCGGCAAAUACAGCUCAUAUCCAGGCACGGUGCAGCCCUUGACAGCUGGGUCCGCAAAGGCAGAUCAGGUAUAUCUUUAAAGAAAAGUUAUCUUAACCAUUGAGAAGCCUUCCUUCCUCAGAGGAGAGCACCUCCCCAGCAGACCUCCGAGGAGACCAAGGGCAGGACAGGAAGGGUGAAAGGAAGUUUCAGGACUGCAGGAAAUAAGAGCUUGGAGGUCAAGGGAGAGAUCAGAUAAAACAUGAAUCUGAUCAGCAUCCUAGUGGUCUAGAGUGGAGACAAUCUGCGGAGUCAACCUCAGUAAGGACACACAUAGUCAGAGAAGAACCAAAGCCUCUAAAGACGAAGCUGAGAAGUGUAUGGUCGUAGAAGACUCGUGUCUGUUAUUCUUAAAAGCUCAAGGAGAUGUUCUGCCAAUUGAAUGGAAACUGUCCAUAGUGGGGAGCAGAGAGCCUCAUCUUUUCUGGAACUGAACAUCCAUCCUUAAGGCCAGAUUUCUCCCACCACCAACUUUAACUCCUGCCCUAGCCCUCUCUCUUCCUUUUCAAAACCCUCUCCACCCAGGAAGGGAGAUUCUGGAGCCAAGACUGUACCAGCCACACCUCCCCAGAGUUGUUAAGGAAGGAACUUGAAGCCAGGGGUGGUCCUCUGGCAAGCACCCCCACUACCAGUAGCAG